rnacentral:rRNA from 1 species
GAUGAACGCUGGCGGCGUGCUUAACACAUGCAAGUCGAACGGGAAACCUUUUAUUGAAGCUUCGGCAGAUUUAGCUGGUUUCUAGUGGCGGACGGGUGAGUAACGCGUGGGUAACCUGCCCUAUACAGGGGGAUAACAACCAGAAAUGGUUGCUAAUACCGCAUAAGCGCACAGGGCCGCAUGGUCCGGUGUGAAAAACUCCGGUGGUAUAGGAUGGACCCGCGUUGGAUUAGCCAGCUGGCAGGGUAACGGCCUACCAAAGCGACGAUCCAUAGCCGGCCUGAGAGGGUGAACGGCCACAUUGGGACUGAGACACGGCCCAGACUCCUACGGGAGGCAGCAGUGGGGAAUAUUGCACAAUGGGGGAAACCCUGAUGCAGCGACGCCGCGUGAAGGAAGAAGUAUCUCGGUAUGUAAACUUCUAUCAGCAGGGAAGAUAGUGACGGUACCUGACUAAGAAGCCCCGGCUAACUACGUG